CGCGUAGGCGGAUUAUACAGUCAGACGUGAAAUUCCUGGGCUCAACCUGGGGACUGCGUUUGAGACGUGUAGUCUUGAGUGAGGAAGAGGGUUGUGGAAUUCCCAGUGUAGAGGUGAAAUUCGUAGAUAUUGGGAAGAACACCGGUGGCGAAGGCGGCAACCUGGUCCUUGACUGACGCUGAGGCGCGAAAGCGUGGGGAGCAAACA
rnacentral:rRNA from 1 species